GACGAACGCUGGCGGCGUGCUUAACACAUGCAAGUCGAACGGUGAAGCGCUUGCCUUUUUGGUGGGUGUGGAUGAGUGGCGAACGGGUGAGUAACACGUGAGUAACCUGCCCUCUUCUUCUGGAUAACCUCAUGAAAGUGUGGCUAAUACGGGGUAUUCCGGGUCUGUCGCAUGGCGGGUUUGGGAAAGAUUGCGCCUUUGGGUGUUUUCGGUGGGGGAUGGGCUCGCGGCCUAUCAGCUUGUUGGUGGGGUGAUGGCCUACCAAGGCGGUGACGGGUAGCCGGCCUGAGAGGGUGGACGGCCACACUGGGACUGAGACACGGCCCAGACUCCUGCGGGAGGCAGCAGUGGGGAAUAUUGCACAAUGGGCGAAAGCCUGAUGCAGCGACGCCGCGUGAGGGAUGGAGGCCUUCGGGUUGUGAACCUCUUUCGCCAGUGAAGCAGGCCUGCUCCUGUGUGGGUGGGUUGACGGUAGCUGGAGAAGAAGCGCCGGCUAACUACGUG
rnacentral:rRNA from 1 species